AGACAAUGGCAUAUUAUAUUGAUGUUGAGCAUGGUGCCGCUUUUGAAGUUUCUUUUGCAUCAGAGGGAUCUGAAGAUUUUUAUAUUUACGGAACAUUCGUAUCCAAACAACAUAAUUAUUUGGUGCAACCACCGAGGGAUAACCGAAGUACUUACACAGUAGCGCUAAUGGAAGAAAAGCUGACAACAUCGUUUGAUUAUAUUAAAUUGCCAGACACAGACGCUAAUAUUACUGAAGAGAAGAUGCAGAAUCGCUCAAAGCAGACAAUAAAUACCAGAGAAAAGCGACAGACGGCCGACUACGAGAUCGAAAUUUUCUUCGUGCUUGACUAUGCACUUUACAAAUGGUAUUUUUAUUUAUUUAUUUUUAUACGCCCGUGUGAAUAACGGGUCGUAUUAUAGUUCCCUCCUGGAGGGCGGCUGGGGGACAUCCGAUUUUUGUUCGGAGCAUAUCUCCUACACUCAUAAAGGAACUUUAAUGAAACUUAAUACAAAUGUUCACCACUAUAAAAAGUCCUGUCCCGUGCAUGAACCAGAUCUCUAGGUCAAAGGCCAAGGUCACGCUUAGAGGUCGUAGAAAAACGCUUGACCGGAGCAAAACUUCUACAUGCAUAGAGGGAUUUCAAUAUAACUUGACACAAAUGUUCACUUUUGUAAGACAAAGUGUCGCCUUACAAAAUUUAGGUCCCUGCGACCAAGGUUAAGGUCACACACAGGCGUAAAAACUCAGAUAAAAAUAUAAAAAUGUGUGUUGGGACCAUUUAGUCAUUAUUUAUUGAGGGAAACUCAAAUGGUCAUUUUAUGACUACUGAUGUGAAACAUGUAAUUUAGGUUAAUAUUUGAAAGGCCAAGGUCACUUUUAAAAGAUAAUUGUCAAUGUCACUUAAGAUAAUAAAAUAUAGAGAUUUUCUUCAGAGCAUAACUUUACACAUA